UCAGGAUGAACGCUAGCGAUAGGCUUAACACAUGCAAGUCGAGGGGCAGCAUAAAAGUAGCAAUACUUGGUGGCGACCGGCGCACGGGUGAGUAACGCGUAUGCAACCUACCUAUCAGAGGGGAAUAACCCGGCGAAAGUCGGACUAAUACCGCAUAAAACAGGGGCACCGCAUGGUGAUAUUUGUUAAAGAAAUUCGCUGAUAGAUGGGCAUGCGUUCCAUUAGGUAGUUGGUGAGGUAACGGCUCACCAAGCCGACGAUGGAUAGGGGAACUGAGAGGUUGGUCCCCCACACUGGUACUGAGACACGGACCAGACUCCUACGGGAGGCAGCAGUGAGGAAUAUUGGUCAAUGGGCGGGAGCCUGAACCAGCCAAGUCCGCGUGAAGGAAGAAGGAUCUAUGGUUCGUAAACUUCUUUUGCAGGGGAAUAAAGUGCAGGACGUGUCCUGUUUUGUAUGUACCCUGAGAAUAAGGAUCGGCUAACUCCGUGCCAGCCGCGGC
rnacentral:rRNA from 1 species